UGGGGAAUAUUGCACAAUGGGGGAAACCCUGAUGCAGCGACGCCGCGUGAGCGAUGAAGGUUUUCGAAUCGUAAAGCUCUGUCCUAUGAGAAGAUAAUGACGGUAUCAUAGGAGGAAGCCCCGGCUAAAUACGUGCCAGCAGCCGCGGUAAUACGUAUGGGGCGAGCGUUGUCCGGAAUUAUUGGGCGUAAAGGGUACGUAGGCGGUCUAUUAAGUCAGGUGUGAAAGCGUGAGGCUUAACCUCAUUAAGCACUUGAAACUGAUAGACUUGAGUGAAGGAGAGGAAAGUGGAAUUCCUAGUGUAGCGGUGAAAUGCGUAGAUAUUAGGAGGAAUACCGGUGGCGAAGGCGACUUUCUGGACUUUUACUGACGCUCAGGUACGAAAGCGUGGGGAGCAAACAGG
rnacentral:rRNA from 1 species